AUGAUGACCUCCAGCUCCAGGUGCCUCCGUGAUCUUGGAAAGAGAACAUCAACGGAUGGAGCUAAUGCACUGAUUUAUUUUGGGUUAAUGCACGUCUUUGCGACUGUAUUUUAUUCUGGCGUAUUUCGAUCAAUCGCGACGAACAGGGUGCCACGUUGUGGGCAUUCAAAUCAGUGCGUAUUGGUCCGAACUCGGAUACAAAAUUCGCCCUCGUGUCAACACGCGAUGGUCUUUUCUAGAUUUGUUGUGCGUAAAACAUGCGUCAUGGCCGUCUACUACCCCUACCACUACCACACAGCGAGCCGAACACUGCUUUUCUUUACAAUCAGCCGAACACUCUGCUGA
rnacentral:rRNA from 1 species